GACAGAGGCCUCAAGCGUUAGGCGGAAUCACUGGGCUUAAAGCGUGUGUAGGCGGAUCGUUAAGUGUCUUGUGAAAUCCCACGGCUCACCCGUGGAACUGCUGGGCAUACUGGCGAUCUUGGGCCAACUAGGGGCAACUGGAACAAGCGGUGGAGCGGUGAAAUGCGUAGAUAUCGCUUGGAACGCCGAAGGUGAAAACAGGUUGCUGGGGUUGUGCCGACGCUGGAGACACGGAAAGCCAGGGGAGCAAACGGG
rnacentral:rRNA from 1 species